CGUUACUCGGAAUUACUGGGCGUAAAGCGUGCGUACGUGGUUUGUUAAGUCUGAUGCGAAAGCCCUGGGCUCAACCUGGGAACUGCAUUGGAUACUGGCUUACUGGAGUGCGGUAGAGGGUAGCGGAAUUCCCGGUGUAGCAGUGAAAUGCGUAGAUAUCGGGAGGAACAUCCGUGGCGAAGGCGGCUACCUGGACCAGCACUGACACUGAGGCACGAAAGCGUGGGGAGCAAACAGGAUUAGAUACCCUGGUAGUCCACGCCCUAAACGAUGCGAACUGGAUGUUGGGAGCAACU
rnacentral:rRNA from 1 species